rnacentral:rRNA from 1 species
GUUGACCUCGAAUCAGGUAGGAAUACCCGCUGAACUUAAGCAUAUCAU